rnacentral:rRNA from 1 species
GUACACGCUGUGACUAGCAUAUCAAUAAGCGGAGGAAAAGAAACUAACAAGGAUUCCCUUAGUAACGGCGAGUGAAGCGGGAAGAGCUCAAAUUUGAAAUCUUCAAGGUUUUACCUUGACGAAUUGUAGUUUAAAGAAGUGUUUUCUGCUGAAGUUUUGGUAAAAGUUCUUUGGAAUAGGACAUCAUAGAGGGUGAGAAUCCCGUAUUUGACCAUUAUUUUCAGCUUUGUGAUACACUUUCAAAGAGUCGGAUUGUUUGGGAAUGCAGUCCAAAAUGGGUAGGUAAAUUUCAUCUAAAGCUAAAUAUUGGCGAGAGACCGAUAGCGAACAAGUACCGUGAGGGAAAGAUGAAAAGAACUUUGAAAAGAGAGUUAAACAGUACGUGAAAUUGUCAAAAGGGAAGCGUUUGACACCAGUGUUGUUUUCUCUCGAAAAUCAAUUAAAAAUGGCUCGAUUUUGUAUUGCUUGAGACCUUAAAAGCUCACUGUACAUUUUUCGUGUCUUUUUUAAUGCACUUUUCGUUUAACAAGUCAACAUCAGUUUCUUUUGUUGUAAAAGGGUCAUUGGAAGGUGGCUUUCUUUUCGGAGAAAGUGUUUAUAGCCUUUGGCCUCUGCAAUCGGAGAGACUGAGGUCUGCAGCGUAGACUCUUCGGGGUUAGAUACAUUUGUGCUAAGUUAUAGCUUUUUAUAGACAACUUGUUGACUAUGAUUUGUCUUGUAGCUUACUCGCUUAUGCUAUUUUACCUACGCUUAGGAUGUUGAGCGCAUGUCUCUCUCU